rnacentral:rRNA from 1 species
GACGAACGCUGGCGGCGUGCCUAAUACAUGCAAGUUGAGCGCUGAAGGUUGGUACUUGUACCAACUGGAUGAGCAGCGAACGGGUGAGUAACGCGUGGGUAAUCUGCCUUUUAGCGGGGGACAACAUUUGGAAACGAAUGCUAAUACCGCAUAAAAACUUUAAACACAAGUUUUAAGUUUGAAAGAUGCAAUUGCAUCACUCAAAGAUGAUCCCGCGUUGUAUUAGCUAGUUGGUGAGGUAAAGGCUCACCAAGGCGAUGAUACAUAGCCGACCUGAGAGGGUGAUCCGCCACAAUGGGACUGGGACACGGCCCAAACUCCUAAGGGAGGGAGCAGUAGGGAAUCUUCGGCAAUGGACGAAAGUCUGACCGAGCAACGCCGCGGGAGUGAAGAAGGUUUUCGGAUCGUAAAACUCUGUUGGUAGAGAAGAACGUUGGGGAGAGUGGAAAGCUCAUCAAGUGACGGUAACUACCCAGAAAGGGACGGCUAACUACGUG